rnacentral:lncRNA from 1 species
UGAGCUUGUAUUUAUACAACUUCUAUCCAUUUUAUGUAUUGUAAUCUAAUCCCCAAAGACUCCCCACACUUAUAGAAUUCUUAUGAAUUUGUUACUUUGGCAGAUAAGGCCCUCCACAACCUGGUUCAGACCCACAUUGCCAUCUUGUCUUUCAAUUUCUGUAUGUGCUCUGAGAUAAAUAGCCAGAGUCUUUAAGCAAGAGAGACAACAACUAAAAACAACAAUGAAAACUUAGUUACAGCUACAGC